UCUGUGGUGGUUCAGUGGUGGAAUGCUCGCUUGCCACGCGGGCAACCCGGGUUCGAUUCCGGGCCAAUGCACCACAGAU